rnacentral:rRNA from 1 species
CCUACGGGUGGCUGCAGUGGGGAAUAUUGGACAAUGGGCGAAAGCCUGAUCCAGCCAUGCCGCGUGUGUGAAGAAGGCCUUCGGGUUGUAAAGCACUUUCAGUGGGGAAGAAAGCCUUGGGGCUAAUACCCUCGAGGAAGGACAUCACCCACAGAAGAAGCACCGGCUAACUCCGUGCCAGCAGCCGCGGUAAUACGGAGGGUGCGAGCGUUAAUCGGAAUUACUGGGCGUAAAGCGCGCGUAGGCGGUCUGAUAAGCCGGUUGUGAAAGCCCCGGGCUCAACCUGGGAACGGCAUCCGGAACUGUCAGGCUAGAGUGCAGGAGAGGAAGGUAGAAUUCCCGGUGUAGCGGUGAAAGGCGUAGAGAUCGGGAGGAAUACCAGUGGCGAAGGCGGCCUUCUGGACUGACACUGACGCUGAGGUGCGAAAGCGUGGGUAGCAAACAGGAUUAGAUACCCCAGUAGU